AAGAUCCAUAGUUAAUAGCUGGGUUUUAGCUGGAUAACAGACAGUACCUCAGGAAAUAUACGAUCAUUAAAACAUGACGUUGUAGUGCUAAAUCUUUCUGCACAUGUAUUCUUACUUCCUUAGGAGGACCCCGAUUUUAAGCCCUGUCUCCAUCAGUCUCAAGACCCAGGACCUUAGGGGAGAGAGGGAGGCACCUGGAGGCUGCAGCACCUGAGCAGUCUUGCCUCAGUUCUUCACCAUCAAGAUGUACCUUCCUUACCUACUGGCAAAGAAGAUGCUUCAUAUAUAGAAAACCUGCAGAUCUGCAUAUCCUGGCACUAGGUGCUGGCAUCCACUCACCAGGUCAGCUCAGCCGAUCCAAUCGCAGAAGGAACUCAACUCUGCCGGUCACCUCACAUGGGGACAAGAGUGUGUGUGUGGACCAGCACAGUCGAGUCUUUCUCCUGGACAGAAACCUCAGACGUGUGCCUCAUCACCACACACCACAUGCCGCAUCUCAAUGCCUCUUUCAAUGAACAGGUACUGGGGAGAAAUUCUUUCACAAGUGAGUUAAGACGAUGCGGGUCCCUGCUGUCUGAAGACCUCUUAUCUGUCUCCACCCUGCAGCUCUCUCCUGAAAAUGGGACUGUAUCAUUUGCUAGCUCGCAUCCUAUCAGACUGGAAGGGACCCUAGAGAAGUGAGUGGGGACAUGGGACAGCCAGCAGGGGAUGGUGAGAAAGAGUCCCAGGCAACGGUACAAAAAUACUGGGCCUCAGAACACUGCCAAAAACAGGAAAGAAGAAACCAAAACACACUUUUUCCCCUCUAAAGAAUAUCAUUAUGUACAAAUUUUAUGUACAUGCUUUCUCUGCUUUGACACAUUUGUGAGUCACUCUGUACAUUCGUCUGGGACACAACUGGUUAAAGUUAGUGGUGACUUCAUCUCCCCUGGGACUAGACAGUCACCAUUUAUUCUUUUGAUGGCUGGGAAAUGUUUGGGUCUGUUCUGAGACUAGUCUGAGAAGACUUCCAGUUAGACACUAGCUGGGGGCAGAAAUAGUCCAUAUCCAAUCACACGGCCCUGCCUGCUGUCUCUUCCUCCUUAUUCACACCCUCUGAAAGGCGGCUUUGUGGUUCCACCGAGUCCCCUAGGAGAGAUAACAAACACCCCACAGAGGAAGCUCUAGAAAGAGGACAUUUGGGAGUGUGCAGGCCAGUGCCUGCUGCUUUCUGAGCCGUUUUCACUGCGUGGCUGGGAUGAAGAGACUACCUAACAGCCUCAAUCAUGGCAUGGGGACAGAUGCAUCCAGUGAGGUGGGGCUUCUGGCUAGAGACAGCAUGCAGGGCUGAUGCGGAAACAAACUGUAGCUCAGGGGAAUGAGAUGGGCAAAGGGAGGAUUCCGUUGGGUCUGCAAGCACCUUCUUCCUGUGCCAAACAGCUCUGACAUCUCAACGUUGCUUAGAGUUGCUCACAGAGGGUAAACUGAGAAGCAGCAAAACUGAGCACUUUGUUCUUUGUACUCCUCUGCUCCUGAGCAGCACUCAUCUCCCAAGAGCACGCCAGCUUGAAGGCCAAGCUGAUGAGAAGCAACCCCCCCAGGCCAGUGGGGGCCUCAGAAUAUCCAGGAAGAGUGUAAGCUAGACGAGCAGUGGAAGUGGCAGUGUCCCCAAGCUGCCAGAGCUGAUUCAGCUUGCUUCUGGGCUCUCUUCUCACCUUGAGUGAGGCAAUACAAAAACCCGUUUUCCAUUUCGGAAUCCUAUCAACUGGAACAAAUCCACCAGUGGAGCAUCUUCACAAGGGCAAUCUCUAACCUCUUUCCUACUCAAACAGAUAGUGCCCUUGAAUUAGCACUGCCCCACGUUUUCACCUUCUUCAUUCAUCUUUCCACCCAGCUU